AAUUUGGAUAACUUUAAACCUCUUACAGCAGUCAUUCAGCUCUUUACCUACACGAGCAAACUCUUUUUGCACGCCUCCCUCUGAAGUGUAAUAAAUCUCUUACAUUUUAACUAAACCUUGCCGUGCGUGUGGGGGGAACGUGGAGUUUGAACCUGUUGAUGUGUGGAAGAGAAUUCAAGACAAGACUCCCACUACUGGGCUUAAUCUGCGGGCUGUCGCUGACAUGCUGUGUUGUUUUGGGCCCGAGACAGACCAGGUGCUAUGAGACGCUGCGGGACGAGUAUCUGAAAGUCCAUGUGGAGGACGAAGCGCAGCACGGUGGAUGGAUACUUCUUAGCUGGGAAGAGUAUGUCCUGGUGGCCAGUUGGGGCUUCACUGUUUGCCAGUAACAUUGGCAGCGGGCAUUUCAUCGGUCUGGCCGGGUCAGGAGCUGCUGCAGGAAUCGGGGCAAUAGCCUACGAAUGGAACGGAAUGUUUAUGGUGUUGCUGCUUGGAUGGCUCUUCCUGCCCAUUUACAUCUCCUCUGGGGUGACCACCAUGCCUGAGUAUCUGCAGAGGCGCUUCGGUGGAAAAAGAACGCAGUUAUUUAUAGCCGUCUUGUCCCUCUUUAUUUACAUCUUUACAAAAAUAUCGGUGGACAUGUAUGCGGGUGCUUUGUUCAUCCAGCUUGCUUUGAAAUGGAACAUCUACCUGGCCGUGGUGCUGCUGCUGGCGGUGACCGCCCUCUACACCGUGGCAGGCGGUCUCGCUGCGGUCAUCUACACGGAUGCCAUUCAAACUGCAAUCAUGCUGGCAGGAGCUCUCACCCUCAUGGGCUUCAGUUUUGCUGAGGUUGGAGGUUGGGACGCUCUGAUGGAGAGAUAUUUCACUGCCGUUCCUUCGGUCCGUGUACCCAACUCGACCUGUGGCAUCCCUCGAGACGAUGCCUUUCACAUCUUCAGAGACCCGGUGAACUCGGACCUGCCCUGGCCCGGUGUCAUCAUCGGCAUGUCCAUCCCCUCCAUGUGGUAUUGGUGCUCUGAUCAGGUGAUUGUGCAGCGCUCCCUGGCUGCAAAGACUCUGUCCCACGCCAAGGGGGGGUCUCUCCUUGCGGUGUACCUGAAAGUUCUGCCUUUCUUCGCCAUCAUGCUCCCCGGGAUGAUCAGCAGGAUCCUCUUCACAGGUAUAGAUUGGGGUUUAUGGGAUCCAUCAGGGUAUCGAUCAGUCUGUUCUGUUCUUCACUGUGUGAUCUUGUGUGUAGAUGAAGUGGCGUGUGCCGACCCCGACCUGUGCAAAGAGAUUUGUGGGAACUCGGUGGGCUGUUCAGACAUUGCUUAUGCCAAGCUGGUUAUGGAGCUACUGCCUGCAGGUCUGCGAGGUCUCAUGAUGGCUGUGAUGAUUGCCGCGCUCAUGUCGUCUCUGACCUCCAUCUUCAACAGCUCCAGUACCAUUUUCACCAUGGACCUAUGGAAGAGCUUCAGGUCUCAAGCUUCUGAAUGGGAGCUCAUGGUUGUGGGCAGGGUGUUUGUGCUCGUCUUGGUGGCCGUGUCGGUGCUCUGGAUUCCCAUCGUGCAGGCCAGUCAGGGCGGCCAGCUCUUCAUCUACAUCCAGUCCAUCAGCACUUACCUGCAGCCCCCCGUGAGCAUCAUCUUCCUCACGGGCUGCUUCUGGAAGAGGACCAAUGAGAAAGGUGCGUUCUGGGGUCUCGCCAUCGGUCUCACGGUGGGCUGCAUACGCAUGUUGUUGGACUUCAUCUACCCGGCACCACUGUGCUUUGAAGAGGACGACCGGCCCGACGUGCUGAAAUACGUCCAUUACCUCUACUUCUCCAUGCUGCUGUCCUUCAUCACCCUGGCUGUGGUGGUUGUAGUCAGCCUGGCUACUGAAGAGCCCAGCCCGGAACAGGUGAAGCUGAUGGUUCCCUUUGUUUGCCUCCACAUAUAAUUGUUAUUUUUUUUUUUACCUACAGCACCACUAGGUGUCAAUAAUGCAUUGGGACACAAGUGAGGCGGACUCAAGCAGUGACAUGUUCUCACCGUUUUACCUUUUUUUUUUUUGAACAGAUAAGUCGGCUCACUUGGUUCACCAGGUUUGAUCCGGUGAAGCCCAAAGAGCAGGACGUCCCAGUGGAGCAGAGCUUUCCAGGAAGAGAAGCAGAGAGCAGAAAUGGACAAGUCUGUCAUCAGAGGAAAGACUCUGCUUCGUCUGUGUCCAGCGCUCCCAGACAGUCCAGGUUCAUGUCCGCCGUCUACUGGUUAUGUGGGAUGGAGAGGCGAAGGGAGGCGGAUGGCAACACUGUGGCUCCUCCUGCCCCCGAGCAGAUCAUCUGCUCUCUGGAUGAAAAGCCAAGCCUGCGUCGACUCGUCAACAUCAACCUCAUCAUUUGCCUCUCUGUAACCGUCUUUAUCAUCGGCUACUGGGCUUGACGGGCAGAGCUUCCCUUCCCCUCCUUCAGACUUUUUCACGUUGCAACUGCAUAAUUCUGAGGUGUGGCACGCGUUUCUAUUCUACCCAUCCCUUUAAUCUCAUACCCCUGGAUUAAAUCCAACGGAAGUGCCUCAGGAUGUUAGCAAAUUUAAUCCCAAUAUAAAUGUAUUUGUGCUGUGAAGACCUCAGGGGUUUGUUGGAGAACAAACAUCAACUAAAGACCAAGGAAGGAGGUGUGGAGACGUUUAACAUCUUCCAGUGAAGAGUAUGACACAACUAACACUCGCUGGCACAGGAAAACAUGGCAGUGGCAACAUAAUACUCUGUUGAAACCUUUAUUUUCUCCUGCAAGGAGAGGGAAGCUAUGGAAAGAUGGGCACAAGGAGACAAAAGCAGGGUAAUCCUUCAGACUUGAGAUAUUCUGCGAGAGAUUGGACAAGACUUUUCGGUCUCUAGUUGCACCAAAUGUGAAUUGUUUUCUGAUGUUAAUUUGUACAAAAAAUUAAAAGAAAUGUAAAACUAUG